UUUAUUUAUUUCUAUUUUUAAAAUUUUGAUUUUUUUUUUCCAGUCUUAUGCGAUUGACUCUCUAACCUAUACGCAUUCUUAAAACCCAGAACCCUAACCUUUGAGUUCUCUCUGUGUGUGCUUUGUCUUGGGUCUCUCCAUUUCCCCUUUCUCUCUUUAUUCCUCAAACCAAUUUUUUUAAAUAAAAGUUACAUGAAGAAGAGAGCUUCUCUUCAGUUUUGGUGCUACGUACGGGUUAAGGACUUUGGAAAGUAAUAUGGUAUUCCAAACACAGCAGUAAAAGUUAUUCAUAGCAGAGUUCCAUGAUAGCUACGAGCAACAAACUAAGACCUUCAAUAUAUGCAGAUUCUUGCCAAGAUUGUAGCAAGUUAGUGCAGUACUGGUAAUCUGGUGCCAAUCAGGGACUGUUGCUUUACUCAAAUUUGUAUCUUUCGGCCUUUCUAAGAAGCCUUUAAAUAGGUCUCUGAAAACCUGAUCAGAGCAUGAUUUGGUUGCACUAAUUCCUGCAAGCUUGAGAUGAGUGUGAGAGAUUCAUGAAGAAUCAAGUUUCAAAGAAGAAACAGUGCAAUUCGUGACUAGCUCGCAAGAAGCUCACGAGAAGAGUAACCUGCGAAAGGCCAUGUGUGAAGCACAUGACUAGAAACUGAAGAGUCAUACCAGGCUAUCAAAUUUGUGAGUACUUCACGAGAAAGACCUUCUCACGAGAUGUCUCCUCAUAAGUCAGCUGCAAAGAAAUCAGUAAAGCGUCCUUGUCACUCCCUCAACUAGUUCAGAAACCAAGAUGCUAACAAUGCUUACAUCGAUCACUACAAGAAUGCUACGAUCAUCGUGGAAAGGGGUAUGAACAUUGAAUCCUUGGAGAACACAUUCAUUCCAGAAGUGUUCAAGGAGAGGACAUGGACCAAAUUGCUGAAUCCCUCGGAUGAUUUGUAUGAGUUCAUCAUCAAGGAAUUCUUUGCAAAUGCAUUUGUGGAAGAUGACCACAUUAGUUGCUAGGUUAGGGGGAACGAAUUCACUGUCUCUAGAGAGUUAAUCCAAGAGCUUUUAGAGAUUUGUCCGAUGACUCCAGAUAGCUCUCUACAUUUUGAUGAGAGAAAAGACAAACUUGAGCCUCUUUUGCAAGUUCUUGGAGGUCAACUCAAGAAGAAGGCCUUGCACACGAUUGACUUCACGCCUGAGAUAAGGGCUUUGGCCUAUAUCAUGAUCUUCAACCUUUAUCCGGUGAAGAAUUUGACAACUUUGUCGGGGCCAAGGACCAUUUUCCUCCAUGAUCUCUUCACUCACAAAGAGAUUGAUAUUUAUGGUCACAUCUACCAGCUCUUUGUUAAGUGCGUUCGAAAAAGAAAGACAAAGAUGACUCUACCAUUUCCAAGCCUUAUCAUGUCACUCAAAGGCACGGGUGAAGAUUCCAAGUGGACUCCUGGUCAUGCCAAGGGGAGAGUCAAUUAGUAAACACACUAUGAACCGGAGUAAAGCCCACAUUCUUGGUCUAGAAGCUGGUGCAGCACAAGUUCCAAGAGAAGAAGCUACAGCUAAAGGUGGCAACAUCGAAGAUGAGAUUGAUUAGUUCACUCAUGUAUCGGAGAAUAUUCCACAACCAUCUUCUCAAGCACAAGCUAGAGCACCCGACUGCCUUGAUUUAAUACUAGGAAAGGUGUUUCAAGAUACAGGAGUAUAUGGUUCAAGUGAUUCACAGUUUUUAGAUUUAGGUGUGUGUGAAUUUUGCCUCUUUUCCCAAACUCACGUUUAAGUCUAGAGUCUGUUUAGGGGUUUUG